AGAGAGAGUCAGCCAUAGUAUCUGGAGCCAGCUACGGCCAAGGCUUCAGCAGCAUCCCUGACCAGGCUCAGCCCCUGCAAAUUUAGGGAAGGAUGUUGGGGGUCCUGGCCUUGUUGGCUUCACUCGUCCUCCUCCUGAUCUUGGCAGCACCCUAUAUCAGGAAAGCAGUUUCCAAAGGAAUAUGUACAUCACCUGUGCAGCUUCCUGGAAAGGUAGCAAUAGUCACUGGAGCCAACACAGGCAUUGGGAAGGAGACAGCCAAAGACCUUGCUCAGAGAGGAGCUCGAGUUUAUAUUGCCUGUAGGGAUUUGCAAAAGGGAGAGUUGGCCGCCAGUGAGAUCCGGGCUAAGACAGGGAACCAGCAGGUCCUGGUGCGGAAGCUGGACCUGUCUGACACCAAAUCAAUCCGAGCCUUUGCUGAGGCCUUCCUGGCAGAGGAAAAACAGCUUCACAUCUUGAUCAAUAACGCGGGGGUGAUGAUGUGCCCCUACUCUAAGACAGCUGAUGGAUUUGAGAUGCACAUGGGCGUCAAUCACUUGGGUCAUUUUCUUCUGACCCACCUGUUGCUGGAGAGGCUGAAGGAAUCAGCCCCAUCAAGGGUAGUGAAUGUGUCUUCCUUGGCAUUCCACUUGGGCAGGAUCCAUUUUUACAACCUACAUGGCGAGAAGUACUAUAACCGGGGCCUUGCCUACUGCCACAGCAAGCUGGCCAAUGUGCUUUUUACCCAGGAGUUAGCUCGGAGAUUAAAAGGUACUGGGGUUACUACAUAUUCUGUACACCCCGGAACCGUCAACUCUGAAUUGUGUCGGCAUUCAACUUUCAUGAAACUGAUGUGGAAGCUCUUCGCCGCCUUCAUUAAGACACCUCAGGAGGGAGCUCAGACCAGCCUGUACUGUGCCUUGACUGAGGGCCUUGAGCCUCUGAGUGGGAAACUUUUCAGCGAAUGCAGUCCUGCAUGGAUUUCUUCCCGGGGACGCAAUGUGACAACGGCGAGGCGGUUAUGGGAUGUCAGCUGUGAUCUGCUGGGAAUCCAGCAGGACGGAUAGAUGGGAGUAGCCCAUUGCUACUCAGUUUUAACGUGCCAAAAGCAUUUCUACAAGGCUAGAACGAAGACUGUUGGGAGCUGCAGCACCACCUAACCCCUGAUUUGACUAUAACGUUUUGAAGUGUGUUUUGCUAGUGAAAACAUGUGCUACGUGUACAUUAUGAUGCCUCAUCACAGCAUGGAGGGGACCUUGGAUUCUGGAAGGCUUUGCCACUGGAGUAUAAGCUCAGGAAGCUCCUACCCAAUUGGAAAGGUUCUAAGAAUGGGCCUGAUGAUGAACAGUCUGAGGCCUAAUAAACAGCCCAGCUAAGUUCGUAGAGGUUCAUCACCAGAGUGGGAUGAACAGGUCAUUCCCAUUUAUUUUUUUUUUUUAACAAGAAGUGUUUUUGGACAUAGUCAUUAUGUGACUUUGUUUUGCUUCCCUAUGCUUGUUAGUUAUGAGGGUCUGAGUUUUCUUUUUAUUUCCAGUGAGCUAGGCGAGGUAAGAGAAAAAAAAAAUACAUGUCAACAGUUGCAAAAAAAAUAAUUAAGAAAGUCAUGUAAGAUUAACUUUUUUUUUAAGGUUGCUAAACUGGCUAUAAAUAAGUUUAGCAAAGCAUCUGAUAAAAUUUCUCAUUAUUGCUAUGGAAAAAAAUGGAGAGACGUGGACUAGAUUUGGUGGCUUUAAAAAUGGUUGAACGGUCAGUCCCUAAGACUAGUUGUAGAUGAUUAGAUGUCAUUGUGGAAGGAAUCAGCCAGUGCCAGAGUGGCUCGGGAAUCUGUGCUUGGUCCCAUGUGGUUUAACUUGGAUAAAGGCAAAGACAGUAUACCUAUGCGAUUCACAGAUGACAAAAACAUCAGACAAACAGUGAACGCCACUGGGUAAAGGACAGGAUUCAGAAAAAUCGUGUCAGGCUAAAAUGCUGGAUCAAAGUUAAGAAGAUGAGAUUUAACAUGAAUGGAGAGAUGUAUGACUAGGAAACAUACUGGGAUAGUCAGGGAGUGAGAAUGAGGUUUCACCAGUAGAUCAACAUUACGUUCUACUGGUCUGGAUCCAUGCAAUGUCAAGAGAUCUAGAGGCACCCCCCCCCCCACCCAGCAUGCCAGAUGACAUGCAGGAUUUAUGGGAACACAUGGACAAGAGAUGCAUAAAAUGAAAAGCCACCGAUGACAUGAUCUGUACUGGUAUCCAAGAAAAUAUAUUACCAAUAUCAAUGAAAAAAAUCUAAAACUUUUUAAUGAAAAAUUGAAAAAAAAUCCAAAAUCUGUAUUUUUAGGCUUGUCUUUCCCAAACAAUUGUAUUUCUCAUUUAUCUAUAUCUAAGCCAUCUCUAGCUUGAAGAGAGAUGUUCAGACUGGCAUUGUCUCCAUGUCCUCCAGCAUGACUCUGCCCCAAAAUUUCAGUUAACAUUUAUAGAUAAGAAUCUUGAAUUAAAUACCUGGUUCAGCCUGGGUCAACA